GUCACUUCCUUAUUUUUUAUUAAUAUUCCUUUUUCAUGCAAAAAGAUACUCCUAUUUUCCAUUAUUUUCACUUUGGCCCCUCUUUUACUCCUCAAAACCCACCCGUAAUCCACCACCAGUCUCCAUUCUCACUCUCUCUUAGGCUAUUUCUCUCUCUAAAAGGCUUCACGCUCACUUCUCUCUCUACAUUCCACAUAUCAUUCACUCACUUUUAACACUCUUUCUCUCUAAAACCUCACCUCACACUUCCCCUUCCCCUACGUAGGGACCAAUGGACGCACCGGACUUCUUCAUGGGUGGGUACUACCGCGGAGGAGCAGCGGCAGAGUUCUUUCCAGAGAAAAGAAUUUCCGAUCAGAAACCUGGGGACCACUUCGCAGUUGAUGACCUCCUUGAUUUUCCAAACGAGGAUGAUGCUAUAAUGACAGAUGGUUUCUUUGAUAAUAUCACUACAAACUGCGCUGCUACUACUGAUUCUUCCACGUUCACCUCCAAUGACAGCAGCAAUUCUUCCAUUUCUGGCAAUCAAGUCGGUUACCAAAGCUUCGCCGAUUCUCACUUCUCCAGCGAACUCUGCAUUCCUGUAAUUACCUAAUUAUUAUCGUAAUGGAUUCGAUUUUGGGAACUUUUCAUUAUCGUUGAGCUGCUUAAUUAAUUGUGUAACUGAAUUUUGAACUUGAGAAAUUCUUUUCCGCUGUGCUGCAGUAUGAUGACUUGGCUGAGCUUGAAUGGCUCUCAAAUUUUGUGGAAGAUUCUUUCUCAACGGAGCAAAACCUCCAAGCGAACCUCCACAUUCUCUCCGGAUCCAAACCACCCACACCCGAAUCCUCUUCAUCUGAAUCCCACUCGGAACCAUCAGCCCGUAAACUUAAUAACCCAAUGUUUCAGCCCGAAACUCCACUCCCCGGUAAGGCCCGCUCUAAGCGCCCCCGAGCAGCCCCCUGUGAUUGGUCCACGCGUCUUCUCCACCUCUCACCCCAUACCAAACCAUUCUCCAAAAAGCAAGGAAAUCAUAAUCCGAAUUUUGUUACAGAGACUCCGGUGAGGAAAUGUCUUCAUUGUGCAGCGGAGAGGACGCCUCAGUGGCGGACAGGCCCAAUGGGACCAAAAACCUUGUGUAAUGCUUGUGGAGUCCGGUACAAGUCGGGUCGGUUGGUACCGGAAUAUCGACCUGCAGCGAGUCCAACUUUUGUAUUGACCAAGCAUUCAAAUUCACAUAGGAAGGUUUUGGAGCUCAGGAGGCAAAAGGAAUUGCAAAGAGCACAGCAGGAACAGUUUCUACAUCCAAGUUCCAUUUUUGGUGUAUCCAACGGUGGCGAUGAUUUCUUUAUGCAUCAUCAUAGUGGGCCCAAUUUUAGGCAUAUGAUCUAAUGGGUCCCAGCGUAGGAUUAAUUGGUAAUUUUGCCUCAUCAGAUUUAAAUUCGUAGCUUUUUCUUUGAAAAAAAAAAAGAGAAUUAAGUGGAAAAAAGAAAAAAAAGAGAGACGAGGGGAAGAGAAGGAAUUAAUUGAUUCUUCAAUGGAAAUAAUUUUUGUUUGCAAAAAAAUAGCAAAUAUCAAAACUAAUUUGAAUUUCAUGGGUUUUUUUUAUUGAAAAAAUUAAUAAUAUUUAAAACAAUUUUUAAAAAAUAAGUUAUAUGAUGCAUUAAAAAAUAAUGUAGCCAUCACUAAAAAAAAUCAGUUGUAUUGAGUUUUUGCUGGAAUCAAUGAAAUGGUGCAACACUUUAAUGAAAACCUUUGGCCCACGGAAAGUAUGGUGUGUCCAUACCUAAAACACACUUGCACAUGAAAUGUUGGUUGGCAAAUUCAUUGCCUCUGGUACCCAAUUUUCAGUUGCUCUCUUAUUU
rnacentral:misc_RNA from 1 species